rnacentral:sRNA from 1 species
AAAAAAAAACAAUAGAAAAAUUCCAUUGUCCUUCCUCAUUCAUCGGAGAGUUCUCUUUGGGCUUUCCGAAAAGGUAUCACAUGCCAAGUUUGGCCUCACGGUCUAAAACUUAUAGAAUCAUACAUUCUUAACAAAAAAAAAAAAAAAACCGAAAAAAAGAAGAAUGCAACACAAGGACUUUCCAGGAGGUCAACCAUCCUAGUAGUACUCUCGCCCAAUCACGCUUAACUGCAGAGUUCUGAUGGGAUCCGGUGCAUUAGUGCUGGUAUGAUCGCAUCUGUUACUACAUGCAAUGCAAUCGUAUCUAUUCUUUUUUGAAGACUUUAUGAUCCAUUUGCCGUGGGUCCCACCAGCUAUGUAGGAAUACCUUAUCUUGUUUAUAAGAGCUUUGAUACAUGCAAAAUAUUCGAAUACAAUGUCUGAACGUAUAACUUUCGC